rnacentral:misc_RNA from 1 species
GAUCUUUUACCUGACAAGGGUGCAGGCUGGCUCCUCUUCUCUCUCCUGUCUUUCUGCUCUUAAGGAGCUUCAUUUGUAAACUCUCCUUCAAAUCAGGUCACUGGCAAACUCAAAACCUUCCCAUCCUCCCAUAACUCUUGAAGUUAUAUUUAUCUAUCCAUUUUCAAUUGGUUCUUGUUCCCUUCCAACCUACCAUGCCUC